GCGGACGUGGCGAAAUGGUAGACGCGCUACCUUGAGGUGGUAGUCCUGCAAGGGGUGGAGGUUCAAGUCCUCUCGUCCGCACCA
rnacentral:tRNA from 1 species